GACGAACGCUGGCGGCGUGCUUAACACAUGCAAGUCGAACGGAAAGGCCCUGCUUUUGUGGGGUGCUCGAGUGGCGAACGGGUGAGUAACACGUGAGUAACCUGCCCUUGACUUUGGGAUAACUUCAGGAAACUGGGGCUAAUACCGGAUAGGAGCUCCUGCUGCAUGGUGGGGGUUGGAAAGUUUCGGCGGUUGGGGAUGGACUCGCGGCUUAUCAGCUUGUUGGUGGGGUAGUGGCUUACCAAGGCUUUGACGGGUAGCCGGCCUGAGAGGGUGACCGGCCACAUUGGGACUGAGAUACGGCCCAGACUCCUACGGGAGGCAGCAGUGGGGAAUAUUGCACAAUGGGCGGACGCCUGAUGCAGCAACGCCGCGUGCGGGAUGACGGCCUUCGGGUUGUAAACCGCUUUCGCCUGUGACGAAGCGUGAGUGACGGUAAUGGGUAAAGAAGCACCGGCGAACUACGU
rnacentral:rRNA from 1 species